UCAGGAGAGUGUGUUUUUUGCUUUUUUUGACAGGAAGGAUAAAACAGCAAAGCCAUGUCAAUACAUGGUAAAAACACCACCGAAGGCGUAAACUGUGCUCGCACAAUCCCCAUAAUCGCUCAGGUAAACGGACUGAAA
rnacentral:ncRNA from 1 species